GACGAACGCUGGCGGCGUGCCUAAUACAUGCAAGUAGAACGCUGAAGAGAGGAGCUUGCUCUUCUUGGAUGAGUUGCGAACGGGUGAGUAACGCGUAGGUAACCUGCCUUGUAGCGGGGGAUAACUAUUGGAAACGAUAGCUAAUACCGCAUAACAAUGGAUGACACAUGUCAUUUAUUUGAAAGGGGCAAUUGCUCCACUACAAGAUGGACCUGCGUUGUAUUAGCUAGUAGGUGAGGUAAUGGCUCACCUAGGCGACGAUACAUAGCCGACCUGAGAGGGUGGUCGGCCACACUGGGACUGGGACACGGCCCAGACUCCUACGGGAGGCAGCAGUAGGGAAUCUUCGGCAAUGGGGGCAACCCUGACCGAGCAACGCCGCGUGAGUGAAGAAGGUUUUCGGAUCGUAAAGCUCUGUUGUAAGUCAAGAACGGGUGUGAGAGUGGAAAGUUCACACUGUGACGGUAGCUUACCAGAAAGGGACGGCUAACUACGUG
rnacentral:rRNA from 1 species